rnacentral:rRNA from 1 species
UACAGAGGGUGCAAGCGUUAAUCGGAAUUACUGGGCGUAAAGCGUGCGUAGGUGGUUUGUUAAGUCAGGCGUGAAAUCCCUGGGCUCAACCUGGGAACUGCGUUUGAUACUGGCAGACUCGAGUGUGGUAGAGGGUAGUGGAAUUCCGCAUGUAGCAGUGAAAUGCGUAGAUAUGCGGAGGAACACCAGUGGCGACGGCGGCUACCUGGACCAACACUGACACUGAGGCACGAAAGCGUGGGGAGCAAACAGG